UCGGGAUAGCUCAGCUGGUAGAGCAGAGGACUGAAAAUCCUCG
rnacentral:tRNA from 9 species